CAUACGGUUUUAUCCAUAUCUCCCUCUCCCCUUAAGAAUCUCCAACAAAAUACCCUCUAUUGACUCCACAUAUAUAUCUCUUCCCUAUAAUCUCCGCAAAUUACCAUCUUCCGUUCUGCAAUUUUUCUUCUCCUCCGUUAAGUGGGAAGGAGAAACUGAGAGUGUUGUGAUUACCGUGUUUGUGUGCGAAUUUUGCUUCUUUCCAAAGGUAUACCCUCUAUUUUUUUUCUGAAUCCUCUGCAUCUCACUCCAUGAGUUAGUUUCACAUAGUCACACACGGAAAUAAACCAUUUUGGAAUUUUUGGAACUGUUGAAUGAUGCUCCCUCCUAAAGCUUCGAUCUUUAAUGUUUAGAAUGUGUCUUUUAUGUUUCUCUUCAAUUCCAAUUCCUAAAUUUCUCUGCCUGCCCAUGAAUAUUGGAAACGAACAACUAGAAUUUUAAUAAAAGAUUUAGAUUCUAGAACAAGGGAGACGGGAGUCUUUUUCUGCUAUUUCUGUUUUGUGUGAGAAGGAAUUUGUUUUGGGAAUUUUGUGUUAACUUGGAGAUAGAAACAAGAGUUUGAGGAAGAGUUUGGUGUUGGAUGUUCUUGCUGUCAAUUUGAGAAUCAGAGAGGGGGGAGAGAGUUGUUGUUCAUUUUGGAGGAGAAAGAUGUAUAGUGGUUGGAGUGAUUUAAUAAGCUUUGUUUUGUUCUUUGGUGAUAGAGAGCUAGGCGUAGUUGCUAGGAGUAUACCUUUUAAAUUUUCUCCUCUUUUCUGUUUCUUGCAAAUGUGUUGAGCUGGAAAUAUAUUUUUUGUUUCUUGUAAAUGAGUGAGUAUGGAAUAUGAGUAAUAGUUUCUUUGUUUAUUUUUUAACUUUUUGUGCUUGACUAAAAGUGACGUAGGGAGUAUUCAUGUUCAAUUCUUCUUAAAUUGUUGCAUUUUUCAUUCUGUGAUGGAAGGGCAGUAUAUACGUGUAGUGUUGAGGGAGUAUAUAUAAUUAUUUUAAAAUUCUUUUGCUUAGUUUUGCUUUGGUGUUUUCAAAAUCAGUGAGGAGUUGAUAAUAUAUAAAUAUAUAUAUAGAGUCUCAUUAUUCACAAAUCCAGUCUUAAAGACCGAACUAGAGACUAAAUUAGGGCCCUUAGAUCUAGAUUUUAAUGGAUAAGAUUAAACCAUGUCUCAUGAAUUUCGCUACUUCAUUAUAUAAGCAAUAUACUUCAAAUUAGGGGUAUUUCGGUCAAAUUACAUCUAGGGUAAAAAAAUCACCCCUGCUUCUCCUCAUUCACGCCGCUCCUCUUCUUUCUCAUCUCUCCCGCUCUUUUCUUCUUCAAAUCGAAGAAUACUUCUCCACAUCGAAGAAUUCUUCUACUAAUCGACGAAUUUUCUACAACAAAGCGACAAAUCUUCUUCUACAAAGCGACGCUCAUUUUCUACUCCAAAUCGACUCUCAUUUCUACUGCAAAUUGACGCCCAAACGCUGCUUCUCUGCCAAAAUCGACGACUCCACAACUUCCUCUUCAAAAUGGUUGAUACUCAAAAAUCUUCGAUGGAAAAUUCAGCCCGCCAGUUGCGUUCCGGCCGAACUUCUGGUGAAGCACAACAAUAUACUCGCAAGCAUCCGGCUAAAUCAAAAACGGUCAAACAAGCAACUUACAAGCUCGAUGCAGAUCCUGGAAAAAAAAUUCCAGAUCCAGAAGGUAAAACUUCCUCUGCACCCAAGAAGAAUGCAAGUUGUGCUCCUCUAGUCCCUACUGAAAUCCCUGCUACCAAAAGUACAACUUCCUCUGCACCCAAGAAGAAUGCAAGUAGUGCUCCUGAAAUUGAUGUCUUCGUCAUGUUGCCUGUUACUUCAUUUUUCAGAUUGUUCAUAGUACUUCAUUCGUACACUUUAUUACUUCAUUCAUGUUGCAUGUUACUUCAUUCGUACACUAUAUUACUUCAAUCAUGUUGCCUGUUACUUCAUUUUUAAGAUUGUUCAUAGUACUUCAUUAGUAUACUUUAUUACUUCAUUCAUGUUGCUUGUUACUUCAUUCAAUAGGUCUUGUUCCCCAUAUGUGCAAAUCAACAUUAUUAUAUUAUUUGUUUUUGCUUCAAGAGAAAUGCUAUUGCUGUAAUAGACAAUUCUGCAAACGGGAUGACAAUGACCUCACAAUAAAUUAUGGUCACAUUCGAGAAACAUUGAGAUCAUACUUUUGUCACUUCCUCACCAAGAAUGGUCUCCAUGCAUAUUGUAAGAUCGUGUCCAACUCCAAAAUGCAGAGAUUGAAAAUGCCAUGGAGGAUAACGUUGAAGAUUGUGGAGUAUUUCUAAUGCGGCAUAUGGAAACGUACAAGGGUGGGCGAGAAGGUUGCAGGAAUUGUGGCUUGAAGAAAUCAAGUUCGGGUGUGCUUCAGAGCUUUAGGGCUAAAUAUUGUUCGGCGCCGAUGUUAGCCGAAAACAGCCACGAAAGCUUCAACAACAAACUUGUUACAGCAGCGUAUUACGAAGAGGAAAGCAAACACAUUGAAAUUGAUGUUGAGAAAAUGAUUGCAGCAUAUUUAAAGAAGAAAUGAUCAUUUUAGUAGAUCAAAUUUUGUAUUCGACAUACAUCUGUUAUGAGCAUUGAAUAAAGUACCACGCUUUCUAAUGUUGAUCA